AAAUCAUCGAGGCCAUCAAAGAGACCGAGGGUCGCCGCUUCAUCUCCGACCAGAGCCGGAGAAAGGACCUCUCCGACCGGCCACUGCCGGAAAGACGAAGCCCAAAUCCCCGACUACUAACUAUUCCGGAGGCAGCAACCAUCUUACUGGCGUCCCUUCAGAAAUCACCAGAAGAUGAAGAAAAAAACUUUGAUCAAACCAGAUUCCUGGAAGACAGUCUGCUUAACUGGUGAAAAUAUACUGGAUUAUGUUUAAUUAUAGUUCUAUUCUCUUUGAAAACAUGAACCAUGUGAAUAAAACCUUUGGACCCUUUUAUUCCAUUUGUAAUCUUAAGAACACACACAGAUAGUUUUAUUCUUUCAGAAACAAAAUAUAUGUAGGAUGCUUAGCUGAGAACAUCAUCUUCUUUCAUUGCUUCAGGUCCUGUUUAGAUGACCAAAAAUGUUUUCAGAUCACCUUGUGUCUUACUCUUGAGUUUCUUAGAAUAUUUAUAAUUAUAAGGCUGAAGACUAAAGUGUUCUUUCCUUUUAACUAUAGCCAGUACCUGUCUUGAUCUUAGUUG
rnacentral:sRNA from 1 species